rnacentral:sRNA from 1 species
GCCAGGUGUGGUGGCACAUGCCUGUAAUCUCAGUGACUUGGGAGGCUGAGGCAGGAGGAUUGUGAGUUCAAAGCUAGCUUCAGUAAUUUAGUGAGGUCCCAACUACUCAGCAAGACCCUGUCUCAA